GCGAGGGUGGCGGAAUUGGCAGACGCGCUAGGUUGAGGGCCUAGUGGUAGCAAUACCAUAGGGGUUCAAGUCCCCUCCCUCGCA
rnacentral:tRNA from 1 species